rnacentral:lncRNA from 1 species
CCAGCUUAACGGUAUUUAUUUACAAAAAUAUUUCAUUACCUACUUUUAAACCUUUUGCUGUGAUGACAGUUUGUAAAGUACAGGAAUGCAAAAUAACUACAAAGUUUAACACAUUUUUCUGUGUUUGCAAUAGUGCUUUUUUUUUUUUUUAAUGAAACAGUACACAGAGAUGGGUUUUUUAAUCAUAUUGAAAAUGCAUAUUCCAGCAAUCACCUUUGAGAUAGUUACUGGACUGAGCAAGAUUUAAAAAAAAAAAAGUAAGUGCAGCAACUGAAAACUAUCUGCAUGUACAUUUCAAGGUGGACACUAGCUCGAGCUCUGUAUCAAGCAUGCUCGCCCCUGAGUGGACAGUGUUAGCAAAACUGAAUCUUGCUCUUUUUAACAUUGUUUUUGGUGUUGCAUUUACAAUGAACCAAUAGUAUAAGUAGGAAGCAAGAUGUUUUUCCAGUUCUAUCAUGUUAAGCAGAGGUCACACCUAAGGAUCACAGUACCCAAGCCAAACAACCUACAAUAAAUUAAUACUGAUUUAUUUACAUCACAUACACUAUAAAAUUUUAAUUUAACCUAUAAGCCUCAUUGUGAAAUACUGGCAAAACUGACAUUCAUGAUUUUUCUGAUGUAAAGAGUGCAAUAAAAAGCGCAAUUUCACAUAGUCCUGGACUACUGCACUCCAUUUGUAAAUGAGUGUGUCUAGUAAUUUAAGACUGUAUUCGAAACUGAAGAAAGCAAUGUUAUAAGCUUGACAACUGGGAAGUUAUUAAAACCAUUUAAUUCAGCUGAGAAAGGUAAGCAAAAGUUUUCCCUUUAAUUUUGUUGUUGUUACCACUAUUUUCUGUCCACAGAACCUUUAAAACUUCUGUGGUAUAGUAAGAUCAUUAAUAUUCACAGGAAAAAUAAUUCCCAUAGCACUUUACAAGAAAUUGAUCAGUGAUGAAAAGUAUAAUUAAAAAAAACUGUGAACAGUAUCUUCACA